GCACUCUGAUUUUUCUUCAGAGCCUGUAAAUAUUUCACUUGUUACUAAAUAUUUCUGUAGAGAGGAACAUUUAUGAGUUUGUAACUAAUUUUUUGAGGCUAUUGUCAUCUGAUGAGAGCC